AAAUGCGAUAAUUAAUGUGAAUUGCAGAAUUCAGUGAAUCAUCGAGUCUUUGAACGCACAUUGCGCCCCCUGGCAUUCCGGGGGGCAUGCCUGUCCGAGCGUCAUUGCUGCCCUCAAGCACGGCUUGUGUGUUGGGCUUCCGUCCCUGGCAACGGGGACGGGCCCAAAAGGCAGUGGCGGCACCAUGUCUGGUCCUCGAGCGUAUGGGGCUUUGUCACCCGCUCCCGUAGGUCCAGCUGGCAGCUAGCCUCGCAACCAAUCUUUUUAACCAGGUUGACCUCGGAUCAGGUAGGGAUACCCGCUGAACUUAAGC
rnacentral:misc_RNA from 1 species